GGAUGAAGAUUUAAGAGACCCAUAUAGCUAAUUGUAAGCUAACGUUCUAUUUUUAUAACAUCGCUCCUUCUUCAUGAUUUUCCUAAAAAAAAAAAAACACCCUUAAUAUGUGAUAUUGGAUUAUUAUCACAGUCAUUUGAUAGGUUGUGAUUUGCUACUGUGUGUCUGAAAAACACAAGCUUUCCCUUUAUGUAAUAGUUGUUCACAAAAGGGCACUAACAUGUCCCUGUCAUUAAAUAUAUAUAGAUACAUGGAGCUACUCUCCCGUUGGGUCACACUAAAAUUGAUUUUUCCAAGCAGGGCUAACAAUACUAGACAAAUGUUAAAUGAAAAUCAAUCACUGUGAUUUAAAUUAGAUAAAUACACUCCUUUUAUUAAGUGGUCUUUCCCCAUACAGCUAACUGGAUGACAGAUAACAUUCAUUGCAGAGUUUGACCUCUAGGCCCAGGUUUCAAUAAAGCUCUAAGGAGAACGGCUUGCUUGUGAUUUUAUUCUUUAUCAUGCUUACCUUACUCUUGAUCAAUUAGAUGAAACAUGUUUUUUUUUUAGAUUGUUUAUAAGUUGAAAAAUACUAAUUAACUAUAUUUCCCUAGGCACUUAAUAUUAAAUACAUGUAAUGCUUCAUUAAGAAUAGGACACUAGGCUAGUUUUAUCAGGGCAAAACUUUAGUUUUAAACAAGUAAACAAUCUAAAAUCCAGAAGUUACCAUGACAUUAAGUGCAGUGAGUGAUAAUCAUAUUUAUGUAGAGGCACUGUGAAAGCAGAGUUCAGAGGUCAAAACCUGAAGAAAGCACUCAGGAAGUCCAAGGACACGUUCUAAGGACAUUAACAAACACAGCCAUCGUGACUAUUGUCACUGUCAAUGCCAAGAAUAAAGGAAGUCAAUCUUAGGAGUUUGGUGUGCCAGACAGACACUCUUCUAGGGACCUUACAUAUAUUAAUUCUUAAAAACAACUCAUUGUGAAGGAUCUUAUCCCUAUUUUAAAGCUAAAACAGCCAAGGCAGAGGAAAGUCAGGUGAGUUACCAAAGUCUUGCCAAUGGGUGAAAUGAGUGAAUUGGACUUCAUAUGGGUUGUAAAAUGUAAAAAAAAAAAAAAAAAAAAAAAAAAAGAAUAAAUUUUUAUUUAUACUUUAAAAUUUAUUGAUUGCCUAUACAUAAAUGACCAGUGGUUUUGAACCCAGUGGCUUGCUUCCUGGUAUUGGCCCAUGGAUUCAAUUGGAAGAGUAUAGUGAAGUGAAAUUUAACAAUUAACAAAUGAAGGGUAGGUAGCAGUGAACUGUUUCAAUAAAGUAGGAUGCCCCACCACCAAAUAUGAGACAUUUGAAGCAGAAACUCUGAGUGUCUUAAUAUGUUACUCAGCUGUAAAUAUUUGGGUAAAAAUAUUAAUUGUAGACUUUGGAAUUACCUAUGGAUAUCAUAAAGGGGCCAGGAAUAACGAUAAGGCCUAUGUACUUACUUCUUUAAAAGGAAUAGAAUAUAGUAAAAGAAAAGGUUACUCUUAAUAUGGAACUAUCAAAAUAGAUGAUUUGUUCCCAAUCUAGAACUGCAGAGGAAGAAGGAAGAACUCCACUUGAAGGUUUGGCUUUCCAUCCCAGUUAUAGUUUUCAAAUAGCAAAGCUCUCGUUCUCACUUAUAGGAAAAUCAUAAGUUUCCGUUUGGAUAUUGAUUAGUGCCAUCAUAUAACUUACCACUUGUGAUUCUUUCUUGAAAUCUGCUUGUCAGAGUAUUUCCCCAUCAUCUGAGACCUCAGUUAAAUUUAUAUUGAGUUUGUAGCUUAUUUGCAAGGCCAUUCUUUCUACAAACGUGGGCUCUCAUUUUGACCUAUGGCAUAACUGACUGCACCCGUCAAAGGUAACUCCUUAUCUGUCUGAUAGUGGCAUGCCCACCAUCCUCCUACAUCCUACAAAGCUCUAAGUCUGAGAUGGUUACUAAAAUGUCCUUUCAUUUUCAUGAAAAUUGAGGCAAGCAUACUGUCAGUUUCUCUUUUAAAGAUGUAUGUAGGAGUUCAUGCUUAAACAUAGGAAUUCUGGCCUCCUCGUGGGAGGUUCAUUGGUACACAGCAAGUGCAGAGCCCUGCAGUGAGCAGGCUGCCUCAUGUUUCUCAUAGUCCAUGGGUGGCCAAGGAUACCCACUAAUGGUAUUCUUCCAGAACCAGUGUUGUUAAGCACACACUUUGAAAGAUUUUCAUGGCAUGGUGUGGUAAUGCUAUUAAUUAUUGAUGCUAUUAAUUUUGCUAAGAAAAUGCCUUUGUACUGACUUGCAGAAAACAGAGAAUUCCCUUGCUUCAAGGAUGCCAUUCUUGGUAUAUCUUGCAUAGACACAAUUGUAUUAGUUUAUCCAAAGCAAUGAUAAGACUAUUCAAUCAUAGACAUAAGAAAAAGAUUUAUGACAGGCAUGGUGGCUCAUUCCUGUAAUCCCAGAACUAAGGAGGCGGAGGUAGAAGGAUCGUCUUGGGUUCAUGGUCUGGUUGGAUUACUCGAAGAUUACUCAAUGCUUAAGAGCACUGGCUGCUCUUGCACAGGACCUGGGUUCUCUCAGCACCCACAUGGCAGCUCACAAUCCAUAGCUGUCUGGAACUUUAGUUCCAGGGAAUCUAACACUUUUUUCCUGGUCUUUCUGGGCACCAGGCAUUUAAGUGCUGUACAUAUGCACACACAGGCAGACAUCUCUCCAU
rnacentral:lncRNA from 1 species